UAUCUCUGUAGAGUCUGCAUAUCAAUAAGCGGAGGAAAAGAAACUAACAAGGAUUCCCCUUAGUAACGGCGAGUGAAGCGGGAAGAGCUCAAAUUUGAAAUCUUCAAGGUUCUACCUUGACGAAUUGUAGUUUAUAGAAGUGUUUUCGGUUAGUAGGAGUAGUCAAAAGUUCUUUGGAAUAGGACAUCAUAGAGGGUGAGAAUCCCGUAUUUGGUACUAUUCCUCCUAGCUUUGUGAUACACUUUCAACGAGUCGGAUUGUUUGGGAAUGCAGUCCAAAAUGGGUGGUAAAUUUCAUCUAAAGCUAAAUAUUGGCGAGAGACCGAUAGCGAACAAGUACCGUGAGGGAAAGAUGAAAAGAACUUUGAAAAGAGAGUUAAACAGUACGUGAAAUUGUCAAAAGGGAAGCGUUUGACACCAGUGUUGUUUUUCCGAAAAUCAAUUACGGAUGGUUGGAUUUUUAGGAGUUCAUGACCUUCAAUUGCUUGCUCCUUUCUUUACGGUACUUUCUUAAUGCACUUUUCAGGUUAACAAGUCAACAUCAAUUUCUUUUGUUGUAAAAGGUUAAUGAGGAAGGUGGCUUUACUUUCGGAGUAAAGUGUUUAUAGCCUUGUACCUCUGCAAUCGGAGAGAUUGAGGUCUGCAGCGUAGAUCCUUCGGGGUUAGAUACGUUUGUGCUAAGUUAUAGCUUUUCAUAGACAACUUGUUGACUAUGUUUAGUCUUGUAGCUUACUCGCUGACGCUAUUUUACCUACGCUUAGGAUGUUGAUGUGAUACUGCGAGCG
rnacentral:rRNA from 1 species